GACGAACGCUGGCGGCGUGCUUAACACAUGCAAGUCGAACGGUGAAGCAGAGCUUGCUCUGUGGAUCAGUGGCGAACGGGUGAGUAACACGUGAGUAACCUGCCCUUGACUCUGGGAUAAGCGUUGAAAACGACGUCUAAUACCGAAUACGAGCUGAGACCGCAUGGUCAUCAGUUGGAAAGAUUUUUUGGUCAAGGAUGGACUCGCGGCCUAUCAGCUUGUUGGUGAGGUAAUGGCUCACCAAGGCGACGACGGGUAGCCGGCCUGAGAGGGUGACCGGCCACACGGGGACUGCGAGACGGCCCAGACUCCAACGGGAGGCAGCGGUGGGGAAUAUUGCACAAUGGGCGCAAGCCUGAUGCAGCGACGCCGCGUGAGGGAUGACGGCCUUCGGGUUGUAAACCUCUUUUAGUUGGGAAGAAGCGAAAGUGACGGUACCUGCAGAAAAAGCACCGGCUAACUACGUG
rnacentral:rRNA from 1 species